CUGGAACUUGUGAUGGAGUGACAAGGAAGUGUUGUUAUGCCGAUCGAGUGUGCUAAAAAGUAAAGUGCUUCAAGACAGUGUUAUGUACAAGGUCAGAGAGGGAAUGAGGAGGAGGGGAAUCAUGAUUUGUUCAGAUCUUCAGGUGUCUCUAGGAAACAUCCAUCAAAGCUGAAGGACUUCAAUGACUUCGUAACAAUAUGGAAGCGAACCCUAGAACCACCAGAUACCCCAAUUGCCUGCCUCAGCCGCCUGUGAGUGUCUCUUCAGCUGUGCUGGACUCCUUUUUACUGCAAAGGGAGCAAGGAUGACCUCUACUAACUUUGAAAACCAGCUUCUGCUCAAACUAAACAGGAAGUUUAGUGAGUAAUGUUGAAAAGAAGAAACCACAACAUAGGAACUUGAAUUAAAGCAUACAGUAGGGCAGGGCAAUUUUCUGUGUAGCAGCUGCCAUGUGGUUCAUUUCUGUCGUGUUGACAUGUUUCAUGUUGUUAAUACACUUUAUUUGUAAAGAUUUCCCUUAAUUAAACAACAACAACUUUGAAA